CCUCGCCAACAUCUAUGUUGCCUGAGUUGUUAAUGUGAGCCAUUCUGACAGUAUCGACUAACCCCCGUUGGGUAUAAGAAGAGUCUCCAGAGGGCGUGAAGGACAUUGCCAUCCCCAAAUCCAGAGUCAUUUCCAAUGGCAGCCAAAAGAAAGAACCAACAACCUGGACGUUCCGAGCAGGAAGAAAGCCAAGCUCAGUUCCACAAAACAAGUGAGAAGACAAGUGAGAAAACAAUAUCUAUCUCGGGGAGAGAAAAGAGAGAGACAGAGCAUGAAUGGGGGAGGGGCA